rnacentral:rRNA from 1 species
AUUGAACGCUGGCGGCAUGCUUUACACAUGCAAGUCGAGCGGCAGCGCGGGGGCAACCCUGGCGGCGAGCGGCGAACGGGUGAGUAACGCAUCGGAACGUAUCCUGUAGUGGGGAAUAACUCAUCGAAAGGUGAGCUAAUACCGCAUAAGCUCUGAGGAGGAAAGCGGGGGACCGAAAGGCCUCGCGCUGCAGGAGCGGCCGAUGUCCGAUUAGCUAGUUGGUGAGGUAAAGGCUCACCAAGGCGACGAUCGGUAGCUGGUCUGAGAGGAUGAUCAGCCACACUGGGACUGAGACACGGCCCAGACUCCUACGGGAGGCAGCAGUGGGGAAUAUUGGACAAUGGGGGGCAACCCUGAUCCAGCAAUGCCGCGUGAGUGAUGAAGGCCUUAGGGUUGUAAAGCUCUUUUACCAGGGACGAUGAUGACGGUACCUGGAGAAUAAGCCCCGGCUAACUUCGUGCCAGCAGCCGCGGUAAU